rnacentral:rRNA from 1 species
AUGACUACGGACGAGACGCCAAGUACCACUAUGGCCGGAGACCUCGGACCCGUCAAGUUUCCUUUGGAUGUGCCAAGUUCCACGACGACCCAAGUACCGCGAGAAUGUUUGUACCUCUACCGUCGCUGUGGAUUCGACAAGUACCCCUACAACAAGUGUACCUCUACCGUCGUCUUCGGAAUCGCUAACAACGUCAAGCACCCCUUCGAGAUGACAAGAGCGACAAGUUCAAAUGACCCCAAGUACAUCUCCAAAAACGAGACGUAUACCGCUACCGUCGCAAGAAUCGAGACCAACAAGUCCGAAGAUGCAAGUACCACUCCGAACCAUGUGUACAACUACCGCCGCCGUGAUUUUCGACAAGACGUCGUGAGCCUCUACUUCCACUACCGCUCCGAUGAUCGCCGAUGA